rnacentral:piRNA from 2 species
UACAUGAAGGAGAUGAGAGCCAAGGU